AUAGUAUUAGCUUAUUUGGUAAAGCGUUGAAUUUAUAAUUCAAAGACAGUUAGUUCAAAUCUAACAUACAUUAUUA
rnacentral:tRNA from 1 species